rnacentral:rRNA from 1 species
AAAGGGGCUUCGGCUCCGAGUAAAGUGGCGCACGGGUGAGUAAUACGUGGGUAACCUGCCUCUAAGACUGGGACAACUUGUCGAAAGACGAGCUAAUACCGGAUAAGACCACAGUUCCCGAGGGGACAGAGGUCAAAGGUAGCCUCUAUUUAUAAGCAAUCGCUUAGAGAUGGGCCCGCGCACCAUUAGCUAGUUGGUGGGGUAAUGGCCCACCAAGGCAAAGAUGGUUAGCUGGUCUGAGAGGAUGAUCAGCCACACUGGAACUGAGACACGGUCCAGACUCCUACGGGAGGCAGCAGUGGGGAAUAUUGCGCAAUGGGAGAAAGCCUGACGCAGCAACGCCGCGUGAGUGAUGAAGGCCCUCGGG